rnacentral:rRNA from 1 species
UGGGGAAUAUUGCGCAAUGGGCGAAAGCCUGACGCAGCGACGCCGCGUGGGGGAUGACGGCCUUCGGGUUGUAAACCUCUUUCAGCAGGGACGAAGUUGACGUGUACCUGCAGAAGAAGCGCCGGCUAACUACGUGCCAGCAGCCGCGGUAAUACGUAGGGCGCAAGCGUUGUCCGGAAUUAUUGGGCGUAAAGAGCUCGUAGGUGGCUUGUCACGUCGGGUGUGAAAGCUUGGGGCUUAACUCCAGGUCUACAUUCGAUACGGGCUGGCUAGAGGUAGGUAGGGGAGAACGGAAUUCCUGGUGUAGCGGUGAAAUGCGCAGAUAUCAGGAGGAACACCGGUGGCGAAGGCGGUUCUCUGGGCCUUACCUGACGCUGAGGAGCGAAAGCGUGGGGAGCGAACAG